GAUGAACGCUAGCGGCAGGCUUAACACAUGCAAGUCGAGGGGUAUGCUUCUUCGGAAGCAGAGACCGGCGCACGGGUGCGUAACGCGUAUGCAAUCUACCUUUUACAGAGGGAUAGCCCAGAGAAAUUUGGAUUAAUACCUCAUAGUAUUAUAGAAUGGCAUCAUUUAUAAUUAAAGUCACAACGGUAAAGAUGAGCAUGCGUCCC
rnacentral:rRNA from 1 species